rnacentral:rRNA from 1 species
GUUGACCUCGAAUCAGGUAGGGAUACCCGC